UACGGAAGGCAGUAGUGGGGAAUAUUGCACAAUGGGCGAAAGCCUGAUGCAGCUAUGCCGCGUGUAUGAAGAAGGCCUUAGGGUUGUAAAGUACUUUCAUCGGGGAGGAAAAAACAAAACUAAUAAUUUUAUUUCUUGACGUUACCCGAAAAAGAAGCACCGGCUAACUCCGUGCCAGCAGCCGCGGUAAUACGGAGGGUGCUAGCGUUAAUCAGAAUUACUGGGCGUAAAGAGCACGUAGGUGGUUUUUUUAAGUCAGAUGUGAAAUCCCUGGGCUUAACCUAGGAACUGCAUUUUGAAACUGAAAUACUAGAGUAUCGUAGAGGGAGGUAGAAUUCUAGGUGUAGCGGUGAAAUGCGUAGAUAUCUGGAGGAAUACCUGUGGCGAAAGCGGCCUCCUAAACGAAUACUGACACUGAGGUGCGAAAGCGUGGGGAGCAAACAGGGAUUAGAUACC
rnacentral:rRNA from 1 species